CGCGGGCAGCAGCCGCAGCAGCAGCUCGUCCGUCAGCUCCGUGAAGCACAGCUCCACCGCGCCGAUGUGCUCCGCGCUCUGCUCCAGGGCAAGGGAACAGCUCAGGGAAAAUGAAGAGGCAGCCCCAGAGAGUGAGGAAUUACAGCAAGGAAUUCAUAGAGACACCUGAAACUGUUGGAAUUUUUCCAACAAACUCUACUCCAGUGCAAUAAGGAGCUGCAGCUGAUAGAACCUGGAUUUGCAGGAGAGGCAAUUUUCACAAAUGCCCAGAGAAAAACAAUCAGAAAUCCAAAGGAAAACAACAUGUUGGGCUUGUUGCUUCUGAAAAUGACUCCCUGGAAGAGAAUUGGCCCGAAAUAAGGAUUUGUGUUACAAUAAAUGAGAG